GAUGAACGCUGGCGGCGUGCCUAAUACAUGCAAGUCGAGCGAAUGGAUUGAGAGCUUGCUCUUAUGAAGUUAGCGGCGGACGGGUGAGUAACACGUGGGUAACCUGCCCAUAAGACUGGGAUAACUCCGGGAAACCGGGGCUAAUACCGGAUAACAUUUUGAACCGCAUGGUUCGAAAUUGAAAGGCGGCUUCGGCUGUCACUUAUGGAUGGACCCGCGUCGCAUUAGCUAGUUGGCGAGGUAACGGCUCACCAAGGCAACGAUGCGUAGCCGACCUGGGAGGGUGAUCGGCCACACUGGGACUGAGACACGGCCCAGACUCCUACGGGAGGUAGCAGUAGGGAAUCUUCCGCAAUGGACGAAAGUCUGACGGAGCAACGCCGCGUGAGUGAUGAAGGCUUUCGGGUCGUAAAACUCUGUUGUUAGGGAAGAACAAGUGCUAGUUGAAUAAGCUGGCACCUUGACGGUACCUAACCAGAAAGCCACGGCUAACUACGUGCCAGCAGCCGCCGUAA
rnacentral:rRNA from 1 species